rnacentral:lncRNA from 1 species
GUCCCGCCUGAAGAGGUCCAUGUUCGUACAGCUUUUCCUGACUUUAUCAGCACAGUUACUUACAUUCUCCUUUGUACUCCAAGAAAAUCACAGACUUUGGGCAGAUGGCAGCCACGGUUUCCUCAUCUGUAAGGUAGGGGUAACCCUGGGUCAUCGUGAGGAAUAAACGAAAUAAAUCAUGGAAGUGCUUCAACAGGGGCUGGCAAUUAGCCCUUGUUAGCCAUCAUUGUUGUUAAUGCUAGUAAUAAUAAUACCACAUAGAAUUACUUGCCACUAGUUGUGAGCUCCUUGAGUAUGGUGAUAGGGCCAACUUUCUUCAUGUUUCAUACCCAGAGGCGGGGGGGUUUGGCUCAUGGUAGGCACACAUUUUCUAGCUGGCGAGUGAAUGAAUAAGAGUGAAGUGUUUGCUCCUGUUCUUGAGCUCCUGAGGGUAGGCCCUUGUCCGACCCGUUUCUCUGUUGCUGACGUCCCCACUUCAUCUGGCACAGCUAAGAGUUGAGUGACCCUUUUGAACAGAUGAACAGGACCAAGAGAUGCUGCUCCUCAGCCCAUGCCUGGCCCGGGGAUCUGGCUGCACGCCCAUCUCCAUGCUCUGCUCAGGCUGGUGGUCAGCUCCUGCUCCAUGAAUUCAGAGAUCCAGGUUCCAAGGCGUGGAUUCCCACACCUGACUGCCUGCUACAAGCUGGCCCGAUCCUCCAUUCCUGUCUCCUUUUUCAAUCUGAGCUCAGUCCACAAAGGAUUGGUGCCUGGACCGAAGGUGGGCUCCUGUCCUGUAUCUACGUCCCCAGGACCAGGCUCUCUGUCCCUGCAGAUGUCAGGGAGCCCCCUUAUUGGUGGGCCCCCCACCCAGAGACUCCCCUCACUUUGCCAAUACCUGAGUCAGUAAUAAAUCUUUGAGUUACUUGCGACACGACUCAGGUGUGGUGUGUUUGGCGAACUGGUUGCCAAGUUGGACCAACUGGAGUCCAGCGAAAGGAAAUCUGAACCUGUCCUUACUCCAGUCCUACCCCAGAACGUCCCCCACUUCCUGACUCCACACCCAGAGCCCUGCUCACGCUGUCUCCUGCCAGCCACACCUGCUCUGGCCACUGGGCCGAUUCAGAGAACUGGCUCUGAAAUCACUGGCGGUUAAUCCUGACUCAGUCUUCAGUAGCUCUGUGACCUGAAACAAAUUCCUUAGCCUUUCUGUGACUCAGUUUCCUCAUCCAUAAAAUUACUAUCACAUUAUUUACUUCCUUGGGGUGUCGUAAGGACAAAAAACAAAAAAGACACUCCACUCUAGGUAAAGCUCGAGUACAAGUCUGACUCAAAGGAAAUUCCAGGUAUUUACUCACCAAGGGACAACUCAGUUCUGCUUCCUCCAGAAAGCCUUCCACACCUGCUCCCUCGCUGACUUCCCCUUAAUCCAGUCUCACUGCGUUUUCAGUCAGCACUGUGUGGUGGACCACGCGUUCGCUCUCCGCUACGUAUGUGUUCAUCCUGACUUCCCAAGUAAGAGAUAAAGGUCCCUGAAGGUACAACCACGUCAGACCUGGCUCUCCCACAGACUUGCUGUGUCAUCUUGCACUUCAAUUUCUUGGGAUUGAGUUUCUUUCUCUGGAUGGCAAAUACAUGCCAACAUUUCCCCGUCCCACGCCCUUGGAAGAUACUAGAAUUCAGUCA